rnacentral:rRNA from 1 species
UUGCAGUUAAAAAGCUCGUAGUUGGAUUUCUGCGCGGGUGGGGCACUCUUCGGCCUUUAAGGUCGGUAUGGGUUCGCAACGCCCGCGCAUCCUGUCGCGAACCACGCUACCAUUCACUUGGUGGCGUCUGGGGAUCGACUCGUUUACUUUGAGAAAAAUAGAGUGUUCAAAGCAGGCCUGAUGCCUUGAAUAAUGUAGCAUGGAAUAAUGAUAAAGGACUUUGGUUCUAUUUUGUUGGUGUUCGGAACCGAAGUAAUGAUUGAUAGGGACAGUUGGGGGCGUCUGUAUUCUGAAGCGAGAGGUGAACUUCUUAGACCUUCGGAAGACGAACAGCUGCGAAAGCGUUCCGCAAGGAUGUUCCCUUUGAUCAAGAACGAAAGUUGGGGGAUCGAAGACGAUCAGAUACCGUCGUAGUCUCAACUAUAAACUAUACCAGCUAGGGAUCGGCCAACGUUUACUUACACCGACUUGGUCGGCACCUUAUGAGAAAUCAAAGCAUCUGGGUUCCGGGGGGAGUAUGGUCGCAAGGCUGAAACUUAAAGGAAUUGACGGAAAGGGCACCACCAGCCGUGGGAGCCUGC